CCUACGGGUGGCAGCAGUGGGGAAUAUUGCGCAAUGGGCGAAAGCCUGACGCAGCGACGCCGCGUGAGGGAUGAAGGUCUUCGGAUCGUAAACCUCUGUCAGCAGGGAAGAACGGUCACUGUGCUAAUCAGCAGUGAAUUGACGGUACCUGCAAAGGAAGCACCGGCUAACUCCGUGCCAGCAGCCGCGGUAAUACGGAGGGUGCGAGCGUUAAUCGGAAUUACUGGGCGUAAAGCGCUCGUAGGCGGUAUGUCAAGUCAAGGGUGAAAUCCCCGCGCUCAACGUGGGAACUGCCUUGGAAACUGGCAAACUGGAGUGUGUGAGAGGAUAGUGGAAUUCCAGGUGUAGGAGUGAAAUGCGUAGAUAUCUGGAGGAACAUCAGUGGCGAAGGCGACUAUCUGGCACAUAACUGACGCUGAGGAGCGAAAGCGUGGGUAGCAAACAGGAUUAGAUACCCGAGUAGUC
rnacentral:rRNA from 1 species